UAGUUGCUAGCAGUUCGGCUGAGAACUCUAGGGAGACUGCCCGGUGGACAAACCGGAGGAAGGUGGGGAUGACGUCAGGUCAUCAUGGCCCUUACGGCCAGGGCUACACACGUGCUACAAUGGCGCGCACAGAGGGCUGCAAACCCGCGAGGGGGAGCCAAUCUCACAAACGCGUCGUAGUCCGGAUCGCAGUCUGCAACUCGACUGCGUGAAGUCGGAAUCGCUAGUAAUCGUGAAUCAAGAAUGUCACGGUGAAUACGUUCCCGGGCCUU
rnacentral:rRNA from 1 species